rnacentral:misc_RNA from 1 species
GAUGAAGAACGCAGCGAAAUGCGAUAAGUAAUGUGAAUUGCAGAAUUCAGUGAAUCAUCGAAUCUUUGAACGCACAUUGCGCCCGCCAGUAUUCUGGCGGGCAUGCCUGUUCGAGCGUCAUUUCAACCAUCAAGCCCCCGGCUUGUGUUGGGGACCUGCGGCUGCCGCAGGCCCUGAAAAGCAGUGGCGGGCUCGCUGUCACACCGAGCGUAGUAGCAUACAUCUCGCUCUGGGCGUGCUGCGGGUUCCGGCCGUUAAACCACCUUCAUAACCCAAGGUUGACCUCGGAUCGGGUAGGAAGACCCGCUGAACUUAAGCAUAUCAAUAAGCGGAGGA